ensembl:lncRNA
GAGAGAGAGAGAGUGAGGAGAGAGAGAGAGAGAGAGAGGAGAGAGAGAGAGAAGUGAGGAGAGAGAGAGAACAGACAAAAGAAAGAGCUUGGAGGGGGAAAAGAAGACACAGUAACGAGAGAACAGGGAUCAAGAGAGUCAAAGGGAAGAAUCGAGAAGAGGGGGACCGAAAGAUAAAAGGUGGGGCAGAGAGAAAGAUGGACACCGACUCAGACGUGUCGAGGGACAGCAGAAGUGAGGGCUAGAAUUGGAUUGCUGAAGAGAGAGAGAGAGCUAGGAGACCGGAAGAGAGAGAGAAUGUGAGAAAGACAAAAUAGGGCAGGUUUCAUCCAAACAGCCUAAAGUGCUGAGAGCGUCUUCUGCAUAUCUUGUGCGCCCUGGUGAUUUACUGUCACCUCUCUCUCUCUCUCUCAUCUCUCACUCCUCCCCCUUUCCUUUCCACCGCAUGUCCCAGGGUAAGUGAGUUUCAGCAUCGACACCGGUGUCAUGCUCCACGGCGUAGCUUCCACUACCGCCCUGUGUGUGUGUAUGAAGCGGCGUUCGUGUGUGUGGAGCUGCUUUCUCUCUCUCGGCGUGUGUGUGUGCGCGCGCACGUGUGUAGCAGAGCUGCUCUGUCAUUUCCUACUGUGAUUUACACUCCAAGUGGACUCAGCGGUAGUGGGGAGGCCGGAGCGUGUUAACCAGAAGAGAUGGUUUACAUUGUAUAGUUUAGUAUCACACAGUACCACUGAUACAUCAUCCAUCUUCAGGAUCUGUGUCUUCACACUUUAUUCAGCAGUCAGAUUACACCACAAUAAAAGGUGUGUAAAGAACAUUUGGUGUAUGUAGAAAUAUGCAGCGGGGUACACUCAGUAAUGUACACCACAGUAGAACAUCACUCAAUAUAGUUAUUUGUAUUUUUUUUUUUUUUUAUAUAUUUUUUUUACAAAGAAUAAUAAGACUACAAACCCCACUGUUAAUUGGUUUAUUUGUUAUAUUAUUAUUUGGUAACACUUUACACAUAACCAUGUCAUAACAGCUAACAUAACGUGUAUAAUCUGAAAUAUGUUCAUAACACUCCUGACUAAUAUACUGUAUUUACACCUGUUGUGACAUAUAUUGCGUUAUUUUAUGGCUGGUUAUAACACCUACAUAAGUGUCAAAACCCACAUUUAUUCCAAUGAGUUUUUUUCCCUGCCAAGAAGCUUCCUUUCGGUUCAAAGUUUGUUUUUCAAACCCUUUGUUGUUGUUAUGAAUUAUUUACAGUCAUGUUUUUUUCCCCCUCAUAUUUGAGAUUGUAGAAAAUACACUUUUACAUUGCCAAGAUGCAUUAUGACCGAUCACAAUCAUAUAAGCCAGAUAGGCCUAUCACGUACAUGCCCUUAUAUCAGUCCUGCUCCUGCGUUCAUCCCAGUCGUCAGCAACAGAGCGUGGGGUAGGUGCAUGUCUGACGUCAAUGUGUACGCAAUUACCAAUGAUCAUUUAUUAUGGUCAAUAAAAACGCUAACAUACUGUUGACAAGUAGGUUAUGGC